AUCCAACUGACGAAUCGCAAAUAAGACGAAGUGGCACGUGUCCUGGAU
rnacentral:hammerhead_ribozyme from 1 species